AUGCAUAUUUGUCAGGUGAUUUCUAGUGCAAACUAUUCAAUAAUCUAUUUAUGUUAUCCAGAACAAAAAUACUUCACACACUUUUGUGUUUUGUCUAAUUGUAGGUGUAUGGGACAUUUGUACAAUCCACAUAUGAAGAUAAGGGAAAAGGAGAAGUUUAGGUUCUGUUCAAAAAGUUCUCUCACGUCACUUUUGGGCCAAGAGAAGAUAGAGUCCAAGUCUCUCACGUUCUGGAUUCAAAUUCGGACUGCAGAGACAUACCUGACUCAAAACGUCAACAACUUUUUCAUACGGACUCCAAAUUGGGUGAUUCUUUUUUUUGUGGAAAGUAGAUUUCGUGAUCUUUCUAACCCAAUUGGAAUCACCUUCAAAUUCGUUCGGAGCAUUGAUAUAUCGACGAAACAAUCUGACGCUGCAGCAGAAUCCGAGUCAAACAACAAGUCCAAAGGUGUUGCACCACCUCCACUUGGGCCCAUGAGCCUUGUACGACCUAGGGUUAGUUUUAGGCUGCCUUGGGACGUCCUCCCACCUCCUUGGCCGCCACCCCUUUCUCCUAUAUAA
rnacentral:rRNA from 1 species